UAAUCUUUUUUUUUUCCGAAAUGUAGAGUUUUUAAUCGUUUCGGAGUCCUUGAAAAAUCUUUGUUCAGUGUAUUUUCAGAUUGAUUAGAUGUUGAUUUAAACCGCACUUUUUACAGAGCGCGCAUUAUUUCUUUGUAUGUAUGUGUAAUUAAGGGCUGGCAUUUAAAGCUCUCACCUUUUUUUAUUAUAUUCUUAUGACUGGAUUCGAUAGUACUAAUUAGUUGGAUAAACUAAUGAAGAGAAGUAUGUGGAUUCCUACAUGUAUCUUUGUACUUAUGAAAGAUACAUACUUUUUCAAUUUCAUGGUUCUCCAUUAUAACACAUGAUGUAAGUAUGUGAUACCUUUGUUGCUAUGUGAGUAUGUGAGACAUACAUAUUGUUUUGCUGCAUCUUAAUUUCAAUGGAAAAUGCAUAUGGGAGUACCAAAUAAUUUACUUUUAUCAAACAAUCAAUAAAGUUCCCUCCCCCAUCCCCGUUAAAAUUUAGAGCUAUGAAAAAGGUUUAUGGCUGUUACUUUUAAGAACUUAAAAAAUUUCUCUUUUCCAAAUUUUGAUUGUUGGAAGAAGAAAACUUUGCAGCCUUGUGAUAAUUGAUACUAAAGAUGAUGAUUGAUACUGACGCCUUAAUUCUUGGCUGUACACGUAAGAUGUGUAAUUGCUGUAAAUAUGGGCGGAAAGCAAUGCAUAUGCUUUAGGUGGGCAUGCCUGGAGUUACAGCAGGUCCAUAAAGAAACCUACGGAUAUGGAAAUUUUACUUGAAAGUUUUGUAUGAGAUUUUUGGUUUAUGUCCAUUGAGUGUACGAUAGAUGAGGUUCAGUUACCCAAUUAGCCACAUAUGCCAUGCUUAACAUUUUAGAUUAUGAUAAUGGGAGUACCAAAUUACUUAUUUUCAUUACCCCUACCCCUACCCCUCCCCCUUGAAAUCUAGAGGUAUGAAAAUGGUUAUAUAGCAUAGUUACUUUUGGGAACUUAAAAAAUUUUUCUGUUGCAAAAUUUGAUUGUUGGAUGAAGAAAACUGCGCAGCUUUGUGAUAAUUUAGUUGUUUUGUGCUUUAAAACUAGAGAUGAUUAAUGGUAUUGAUGCCUUAAUUCUUAGCAGUACAUAUAAGAGUGUAAUUGCUGUAAAUAUGGGCGGCAAGCAAUGCAUAGGCUUUAGGUGGGAAUGCCUCGUGUUACAGCACGUCCAUAAAGAAACCGAUGGAUAGGGAAACUUUACUUGAAAGUUUGUAUGAAAUUCUGGUUUAUGUCUUAUGAUAGACGAGGUUCAGUUACCCAAUUAGCCACAUGUGCCAGCCUUAACAAUUUAGUAUUAUGUAAACAAAUUUGGAUUCCAUUAUUGACCAUGGUCGUAUCCUACAUCCUGAAUCUAGCUUGUAAGGGAGUCUCUUCUCUAUUAAUAUAAACCAAGAACGACAACUAAUUUUACCCUGCCCUUGAUCUUCAUCAUCCAAUAAGCAAAACAAAAAAAUAAAAUAAAAAUAAAAAUAAAAUAAUAAGCGACUUUAUAUAAGUACAUACUAUAUAUCAUAUAUGAUUAAUUCUGAUACAAAAUAAUACAAAACCAAGUAAUUGUAGGAAUUGUAAUAUCGCGGAACGACACUAUUUAUACUUUCAUUCUCAAUUUGGUUCUCACACUUUACUAUAAUGAUUCUAUAUAUACGCAUAUGAUAGGAUUGUCCUAUCAAAUUAUGAUAUGAUUUAAAACUAUUCAAAUUAUGACAUAUCCGAUGUUUAGUGGAUUUAUCCACACCAUUUGAGGUUCCAUGAUUUGUCGUUCGAAAUGUCGUUAUUUGAGUAGACUGUUAUUAUAUAAUUGUGAAAUAUUCAAAAAAAGAACUUCAAAAUUUGGCAUCUACUCAAAUCACAAUCCGCCUCUUUGUUACUCAAUCAUGACAUCUCCAAUGUCGAGUCGACCCGCCUGCCCAUCUCGUUUCUCUCUACUGCAUCAUUUGUGUUGACAAUGUAUGAGUAUGGGUGUUUGGCUUCGGAGUCUAUUUUCAGAAUAUGUUUACUCGAAGAAGGAUGUACUAAGAGUAAUCUCGAACAUUUUUAAGGAUACUUGAGGUUGCAGUGACUCAGUAUGUUUGUCUCAUGGGUUUUGAACUCCUCUUCAUCCAUCCUUUGGCCGAUUGUCAGUUUUCGAAGUUCAGCUUUAAGGCACUGCUUUCCAACUUUAGGGUGUUUAAGUUUCUAUAAUGGACAUGCUUCUAUAGACACAUUGAGCAUGUAUUCUGAUUCUGAAGGUGCAUUUGGAUGUUCAUAAAAUGUAAUGACAAACGGGGCAUGCUAUUUUUUAUGGCCUCUAAUUUACAUGUUACAAGGUCUGUGGUUGCUCAUCACCAUGAUAAAUGUUUCAAUAUAUUUUACUGUUUCAGACAAUAACAAGCAAUUUUUAUUGUGUAUUCAACUGCUAGGGACUACUGCUGCUUUAAUCAAAGCUGAGGUGCCAUGGUAUUUCAAAGGGAUCUUUCUGAGGAGAAGCGUAUCUUGAAAAGAGUGAAGGGUUUUAUGUUCUCUUGGCCAAGUGGCAAUGGUUCGACAGUUCAACCUGCUGGAUGUAAUCCGCCACCACUGAUAGUCACCUGCACCAAACCAGCAACUUCUACCCCAAAGUUAGUAGUAGUUUCACGAGUGGCAGGACUAGCUCCCUCUUAACGCUGGUGGGGCAUCUCCUGCUUGCCCAGCUCACCAUGUAGGAUUUUCCAUGAACCCUGCAUCUCAACUUUCUGCCCCAUUAAGUCAGGCUUCAGUAUCACUUAUUACUCUGGUUUCUGACAAACCACUGGCUCCAGCUGCAAGAUUGGCAUAUCAAUUUGGCUUGGAUGGCCGGUUGGGUUUGUUCAACCAAGAAAGGCAUGGGAGCCUUUGUCAGGAUGUUCUCAAGAGUAAAACAGCUCCACUUCUAGAUGAAUACUUUAGUCUGAGACUUUUGGAUGAAACAUUAAAAUGCAUCGGGGAAUUGAAAUUUAGGGCUCAGCAUCCUGAAAUUGUCAAAGAGGCCAUUCCCUUGGAUUGAACAAAGGCCACCUUGUGUUGAACCAGUUGCAAAACUUCUGGAAUACUUGCUUGCUGAUAAAGUCUUCACCAAGGACAUGGGAACUGGGUCCUUCCUCCAUGCAGCACUGUUGGAUGAUCUUGCCUAGUGGUGGCAAACGAGCCCGUUGGCUCGGGUGGGCAGGGUGGCCCAUGGCUUGACUCGACAAAGCCUGACCCAGGUCAGCUUGGAGCUUAUUUGCAUAAGCCAAAGCUCGGGCCAAGCCUCGAAAAUGAGAUGUGGACCGAGCUCAAGCUAGCCUGCGAGCCUCACGAGCCAAAACUUGUUGGAUAAAUUUUCAACCAAAUAACUAGCAUACUAGUUUCAUUGCAUAAUGCCCGCCACACGUAGUUCCCAUCACCAAAUUCAAACGUCUCUCCUUCUCAUCACCAAAUUCAAACCUCUCUUAGAGAGGUUCAAUUUUCAGAACGUCUCGAAGAGACAUUUUCAACCUUACAAUUUUUUUUCUUAUAAAUAUCCAAUUCAAAAUAACUUUUUUGCUA